UUGCGCAAUGGCCGAAAGGCUGACGCAGCGACGCCGCGUGGGGGAUGAAGCAUUUCGGUGUGUAAACCCCUGUUGCCCGGGACGAACAAGCAGAUUUUUCUGCUCUGACGGUACCGGGUGAGGAAGCACCGGCUAACUCCGUGCCAUCAGCCGCGGUAAUACGAAGGGGGCUAGCGUUGCUCGGAAUUACUGGGCGUAAAGCGCACGUAGGCGGACUCUUAAGUCGGUGGUGAAAUCCUGGAGCUCAACUCCAGAACUGCCUUCGAUACUGGGAGUCUUGAGUUCGGGAGAGGUGAGUGGAACUGCGAGUGUAGAGGUGAAAUUCGUAGAUAUUCGCAAGAACACCAGUGGCGAAGGCGGCUCACUGGCCCGAUACUGACGCUGAGGUGCGAAAGCGUGGGGAGCAAACA
rnacentral:rRNA from 1 species